rnacentral:rRNA from 1 species
CCUACGGGUGGCUGCAGUGGGGAAUAUUGGACAAUGGGCGAAAGCCUGAUCCAGCCAUGCCGCGUGUGUGAAGAAGGCCUUCGGGUUGUAAAGCACUUUCAGUGGGGAAGAAAGCCUUGGGGCUAAUACCCUCGAGGAAGGACAUCACCCACAGAAGAAGCACCGGCUAACUCCGUGCCAGCAGCCGCGGUAAUACGGAGGGUGCGAGCGUUAAUCGGAAUUACUGGGCGUAAAGCGCGCGUAGGCGGUCUGAUAAGCCGGUUGUGAAAGCCCCGGGCUCAACCUGGGAACGGCAUCCGGAACUGUCAGGCUAGAGUGCAGGAGAGGAAGGUAGAAUUCCCGGUGUAGCGGUGAAAUGCGUAGAGAUCGGGAGGAAUACCAGUGGCGAAGGCGGCCUUCUGGACUGACACUGACGCUGAGGUGCGAAAGCGUGAGUAGCAAACAGGAUUAGAUACCCCAGUAGUC